rnacentral:rRNA from 1 species
AACGAACGCUGGCGGCAUGCCUAACACAUGCAAGUCGAACGAGACCUUCGGGUCUAGUGGCGCACGGGUGCGUAACGCGUAUGCAACCUACCUCAAUCAGGGGGAUAGCCCGAAGAAAUUCGGAUUAACACCGCAUAAAAACACAGUACAGCAUUGUACAAUGUUCAAAUAUUUAUAGGAUUGAGAUGGGCAUGCGUGUC